GCUAGAUGGUGAAGUACAAAUUAUAUAGAUUUUGUACUUCACAAUAAUUGCCAAUCCCGGGAGCUUACAAGCAGGAUGGUGAUGUUAAUUACAAACUCUUUAGACAAGACGCCAAAUUGAGGUGACCUUUGUUGUAGGAUGGGAGAGGAGAGGACGUACAAGAGAGGCUGCAGAUCUUGUCCAUCAAUUUUUACCACAUACAACACUAGUACGCAAAUAAAACUAGUUCUAUCGAGAUGCAAAGUAGUAACUAUAAUCCAAAAGGAUGUCCUCCAGCUGAGCACACUCCUGUCUGACCAAAGAACCUUCAUCAGCCGCUUGUUGUGCCUCAGAAAUCCCCUCUCCUCUUCUCCUAUCGUUGUGGGACCAUCUUCACUAUCAGAUCCAGCCACCUCUUUAUCAGCUUAAAUAGGACAUGCUAGUUCGCCAAUGGCCUUCCUUAUUCAGGUGCUAUCAACAGUUUCCUUGUUGCUACCAGGACUCGAUUUGAGCAAUGAACUUUGGCCAAUCUUUACACAUAUUUUACUUAGUCAAGGCAGGAUGCUGAAACAAACAGAAAACCAUAUUAUUUUCUGUGAGAAAGAACCAAAAGAUGCCUUAACUUUCAUGGUAAAGAAUCCAACAAUUUGGUGUAAUCCAGGUACAAUGCAGCUAUACAUAUGAUUUCUUCACAAAACUCAUUUGCAAUGCAUGGAUCUACUUGUACGAAUCACAAAAUAGAUAUGCGAUACAUGGAUGUACUUGUACGAAUCACAAACUGAUAUGCAAUACAUGGAUCUGCUUGUACGAAUUCAAUAUGAAAUUGAAAAACCGAUAUACAUUGCAAAGCUGGGAGUAUGUGUACUAUGGACACAUGAACUUUGCAUAUACGUACCAUAACAUGUACAAAAGGCGAAACAACUUUAACUCAAAAUAAAAGACAAUUGUUGUGCUAACAGUUAAAAGUUAUACAAUAUGUAGAGCGGCAAAACUAAACAGUGUGAUAAUAAAAAAUGGAGAAAAUAAAAAACUCCAAAGUACCUUGCCAAUGAAAAAAUGGAGCACUAAAUAAACGGCAGGGGGCUCCUGUCCAAAUUGUAUGCAUAUAUCUUAGAGCAUAUAUUAGAGCAACAAAUUUGUAUAUCCACCAAAACCUUUUAGCUCCAAGCAGACCCCAAACUUUUAUUAGGCUCUGAAGAAGCUCCACCAAUGUGUCCGAUUGAAACUACCUGCAUAAUAAACAGAGAGGAUCAAGGAAAUGAAGGCAAUAUUUGUACAUAUCUAGGAAAAAAUGAUUGUGGUCUUCUAUCGAAAAAAUAUUUUUAGUGCAGUUCAAGCUAACAAUUUCUUUAAGCACUUUCCGUACUACUUUGCCCAACCAGUCACUGUAAAGAUGUAUAACUCCGCACACAUGGAACAUAUGCUAUUUAUCUCAUGUCAACUUGCAUAACUCUUACAGGGAAUUAUAAUACUCCCUACGAUCCAUAUUAGUCGCUCAAAUGGAUGUAUCUAGACGUAUUAUAUUGCUAGAUACAUCCGUUUGAGUGACAAGUAAUAUGAAACGGAGGGAGUACAAGCUAACUACCUCUAAUGCCAAUUGCACAAUGGCAAUAUAAGUUAUCUAGUUCAAUAAUAAAUAGUAUACAAAUUUUGGUGACAGGGAGCAUAUAAGGAAGUUCUCUACAACAAUGUUUACGACAUGCAAGAGAAGUGUACAAUGGGAAGCAUGGCAGCGCAAAAAAUAUACAUGCUCUUAUCUUAUAUGCUCGAGAACUUGAAAAUAUAUAAUAGAAGUAUGCACUCGAGGGAUUUUAUUGCGAAGUACAAAUUGUAUAUAAUACUAUAUGCUUGAAAGAAUAACAAUUUUUUUAGAAAUUCCACCGGAAGAUGUAUUAUUAGAAUUGGCAAUUUUCAGUUAGAAAUAUCAUAGUGCAAUCUGAUAUACGGAUUAGAUACUCAAUAAAAAUUCAAUUGUCAAAGUAUUAUGCCAUAAAUGUUAAUGCACAUGCUCCAUCCUUUCCACUCCCAAACUCUAUUCACCAAUGACCACAAUUGAAUGGACAUAUUUUAACUUGAAAAAGGUGCUAAUAGGCACACGCACAUAUAACAUGCAUGUCUAUUUAUCCGUAUUGAUUAUUGGCGCAAACGCAACAAUACAAAAUCACCUAUCUCCACACAUCCAUGGCGAAGGUAUUGUCAUGUGUGGUUAAUAAUAUCAUUAUUUUUGACUAGGACCAUACACAACAAUGCAACAAAAGGGAGCAUGAAAAUAGGCAGACCCUGGUAUAAAAUAGCAAAAGAGAAAUGAAGCAUAAUGCAAUUAGCAGUCCCCCUUUGAAAAUUAAUAUCAAAAUAUAUAAAAUGAUUAAAUGAGCAUCAUCUACAGUAGCACAAAGAUUAAGUAGAAGCAUCUCUAAUUGAUGCACAGGUUACUAUUCUCUCAUCACUUCUAGCAAUAGCGCAAAAGGUAAGACAUCUUCCAAAUUUUCAAUUAGUAUUGUGAAAAAUAUAAGAACAAAUCUUUGGCAACACAUUCCAAUUUCACAACACUUUUGUUAUUUAAAUCUCAUUUUACACGCUAGCGAUUAUCAUUCUGGCCACCACAGUAAUAACGGCCAUUACCUGCCAUUCUUUUUACAUCACGG
rnacentral:lncRNA from 1 species